rnacentral:rRNA from 1 species
ACUGCUCAGUAACACGUGGAUAACCUGCCCUUGGGACCGGGAUAACCCCGGGAAACUGGGGAUAAUACCGGAUAACGCAUAUCUGCUGGAAUGCUUUAUGCGUAAAAUGGAUUUGUCUGCCCAAGGAUGGGUCUGCGGCCUAUCAGGUAGUAGUGGGUGUAAUGUACCUACUAGCCUACGACGGGUACGGGUUGUGAGAGCAAGAGCCCGGAGAUGGAUUCUGAGACAUGAAUCCAGGCCCUACGGGGCGCAGCAGGCGCGAAAACUUUACAAUGCGGGAAACCGUGAUAAGGGGACACCGAGUGCCAGCAUCAUAUGUUGGCUGUCCAGAUGUGUAAAAUACAUCUGUUAGCAAGGGCCGGGCAAGACCGGUGCCAGCCGCCGCGGUAACACCGGCGGCCCGAGUGGUGAUCGUGAUUAUUGGGUCUAAAGGGUCCGUAGCCGGUUUGGUCAGUCCUCCGGGAAAUCUGACGGCUCAACCGUUAGGCUUUCGGUGGAUACUGCCAGACUUGGAACCGGGAGAGGUAAGAGGUACUACAGGGGUAGGAGUGAAAUCUUGUAAUCCCUGUGAGACCACCUGUGGCGAAGGCGUCUUACCAGAACGGGUUCGACGGUGAGGGACGAAAGCUGGGGGCACGAACCGGAUUAGAUACCCGGGUAGUCCCAGCCGUAAACGAUGCUCGCUAGGUGUCAGGCAUGGCGCGACCGUGUCUGGUGCCGCAGGGAAGCCGUGAAGCGAGCCACCUGAGAAGUACGGCCGCAAGGCUGAAACUUAAAGGAAUUGGCGGGGGAG